rnacentral:tRNA from 1 species
GUGGGCGUAGCUCAGUCGGCAGAGCACCAGGUUGUGGUCCUGGGAGUCGGGGGUUCAAGUCCCCUCGCUCACCCCA